AGGGGCAUCGGGAGGGAAGCUUGCUUUCCUUGCCGGCGACCGGCGCACGGGUGAGUAACACGUAUGCAACCUGCCCUCUUCAGGGGGACAACCUUCCGAAAGGGAGGCUAAUCCCGCGUAUAUCGGUUUCGGGCAUCCGAGAUCGAGGAAAGAUUCAUCGGAAGAGGAUGGGCAUGCGGCGCAUUAGCUAGACGGCGGGGUAACGGCCCCCCGUGGCGACGAUGCGUACGGGUUCUGAGAGGAAAGUCCCCCCCCAUUGGUACUGAGACACGGACCAGACUCCUACGGGAGGCAGCAGUGAGGAAUAUUGGUCAAUGGGAGAGAUCCUGAACCAGCCAAGCCGCGUGAGGGAAGACGGCCCUAUGGGUUGUAAACCUCUUUUGUCGGAGAACAAAACCCGGGACGUGUCCCGGACUGCGUGUAUCCGAAGAAAAAGCAUCGGCUAACUCCGUGCCAGCAGCCGCGGUAAUACGGAGGAUGCGAGCGUUAUCCGGAUUUAUUGGGUUUAAAGGGUGCGUAGGCGGUCCGUUAAGUCAGCGGUAAAAUUGCGGGGCUCAACCCCGUCGAGCCGUUGAAACUGGCAGACUUGAGUUGGCGAGAAGUACGCGGAAUGCGCGGUGUAGCGGUGAAAUGCAUAGAUAUCGCGAAAAACUCCGAUUGCGAAGGCAGCGUACCGGCGCCAGACUGACGCUGAGGCACGAAAGCGUGGGGAU
rnacentral:rRNA from 1 species